ACUUGCAAUCCAGUUAUAUAUUAUUCUCGAAUUCGUAUUAGGUGGUCUUUCAUUUUAAAAAUGAUAGAGGAGAUCUCCGAGGCAUCUGAAGGCUGCAAUGAGGAGAAGGAUGUUAGUUUUGUAAAGCUAAACAUGUUCAGCAUAAAACAUCGAAUCAAUGAUUUACCAGAGUCAAAAUAUAGGGACGUUCUGUCAAACCACGCAACUAAUAUGUUGGUGCAUUCGGCGCCGUUGGAUGGAUUAGAUGGACGGAGGAGGAUGCACUUGCCAGAUAUGGAAUCCAACGUUACGAGCUAAAGUGGAAGGUUGACUGCUAAAAUGGCACUUCCACGUGAAUAUGGAAACGUAUUUAAAGAAAAUCGGGCAUUUUGUUGGAAGGCGUUAUUGCCUUCUUGUCAACUCCGUUACUUUCUAUGUUUGAUAUUUUUCCCUCCAAUUUCUCAACCUCUUUAUCUGGACUCUUUUACCAUUGUACCCCUUAUGUUUUAUCACACUCUUACCUUGUAUUUUGUAUUAGUAUCACUUAUCAUUUUGUACAUUAUUUACCAUUUUUAGUACGAUUUUAUGAUUUUCAAUUA